GAUGAACGCUGGCGGCGUGCCUAAUACAUGCAAGUCGAGCGAACGGACGAGAAGCUUGCUUCUCUGAUGUUAGCGGCGGACGGGUGAGUAACACGUGGAUAACCUACCUAUAAGACUGGGAUAACUUCGGGAAACCGGAGCUAAUACCGGAUAUAUUUUGAACCGCAUGGUUCAAAAGUGAAAGACGGUCUUGCUGUCACUUAUAGAUGGAUCCGCGCUGGAUUAGCUAGUUGGUAAGGUAACGGCUUACCAAGGCAACGAUGCAUAGCCGACCUGAGAGGGUGAUCGGCCACACUGGAACUGAGACACGGUCCAGACUCCUACGGGAGGGAGCAGUAGGGAAUCUUCCGCAAUGGGCGAAAGCCUGACGGAGCAACGCCGCGUGAGUGAUGAAGGUCUUCGGAUCGUAAAACUCUGUUAUUAGGGAAGAACAUAUGUGUAAGUAACUGUGCACAUCUUGACGGUACCUAAUCAGAAAGCCACGGCUAACUACGUG
rnacentral:rRNA from 1 species